CCCGUGAUAGCUCAGUUGGUAGAGCGGAGGACUGUAGUGGUUGCAAUGCACAGGCAUCCUUAGGUCGGCGGUUCGACUCCGUCUCGCGGGA
rnacentral:tRNA from 1 species